UCCGUAGGGUGCGAGCGUUGUUCGGAAUUACUGGGCGUAAAGGGCGCGUAGGCGGCCACCUAAGUCAGACGUGAAAUCCCUCGGCUCAACCGGGGAACUGCGUCUGAUACUGGAUGGCUUGAGUUUGGGAGAGGGAUGCGGAAUUCCAGGUGUAGCGGUGAAAUGCGUAGAUAUCUGGAGGAACACCGGUGGCGAAGGCGGCAUCCUGGACCAACACUGACGCUGAGUGAGCGAAAGCCAGGGGAGCAAACGGG
rnacentral:rRNA from 1 species